rnacentral:rRNA from 1 species
GUGAGUAGUUCAGAGUUUGAUCCUGGCUCAGGACGAACGCUGGCGGCGUGCUUAACACAUGCAAGUCGAACGGAACUUAUCGGAUCAAGACUUCGGUCAAGUGAAUUUAAGUUUAGUGGCGGACGGGUGAGUAACGCGUGAGGAACCUGCCUUUCAGAGGGGGACAACAGUUGGAAACGACUGCUAAUACCGCAUAACGCAUAUUGAUCGCAUGGUCGAUAUGCCAAAGAUUUAUCGCUGAAAGAUGGCCUCGCGUCUGAUUAGCUAGUUGGUGAGGUAACGGCCCACCAAGGCGACGAUCAGUAGCCGGACUGAGAGGUUGACCGGCCACAUUGGGACUGAGAUACGGCCCAG